UACAGAGGCCUCGAGCGUUAGGCGGAAUCACUGGGCUUAAAGCGUGUGUAGGCGGAUUGGUAAGUACCUUGUGAAAUCCCACAGCUUAACUGUGGAACUGCUCGGUAUACUGCUGAUCUUGAGCCACUCAGGGGCUACCGGAACAAAUGGUGGAGCGGUGAAAUGCGUAGAUAUCAUUUGGAACGCCAAUGGUGAAAACAGGUAGCUGGGGGUGUGACUGACGCUGGAGACACGAAAGCCAGGGGAGCAAACGGG
rnacentral:rRNA from 1 species